AUUCUGGAAGAGACAGAUCGUCUGAGCCUGGAUCAUCAAGCUGACCAUGCAGCCACAGCUGCUCAUCAUGAGCUAGAUUCUGUCAGACCCAUCAAGUCAAAAGAGGUUGUACACCACGGAAGACGCACUCAACAACCAUAUAUAUGCAGUUGACAUCAGCCAGCCUCUAUCGAAGGCUGGGUGCAUAAGCAGAGUAAGCAUGCUGGCGUGGAGAAAGUGCGUGUAUGGGCCCAAUAGCAUGGGCUCACACUCAUCAACACUCAUCUGGAUAUUGCUGAUGCUGAGUGUUCAACCUGCCAGUUACAAGACCAACUCUGAGUCUCAGCUGCGUCUCCAUUCCUUGAGAAGAACAACCGGCCACUUCACGAGACACAGUCCAAGUUCCCGCAUCGCCUUCAGUCCUGCCUCUCCAGCCUCCUCUGCUCUGUGACAGUGGCUCAGUCUCUCCUCGUCUCCCAUGACCGUGACAGUCUUGAGCAGUGCUGGCCACGGAUUUUGUAGACUGGUCCUCAGUCUGGAUUUGGUGAUGAUUUCCUCGUGACCAAACUGGGGUUAUGGGUUUUGGG
rnacentral:lncRNA from 1 species